GGUGCUGGAGGCCCGUACUCAAAAGGCGGGGCACGCUCAGCUGGAUACGGAGCUGGUGGUCCGUAUUCUUGGACGGGCUCUGCGGGGUAUGGAGCUGGCGGCCCAUACUCUGCCGGGGUGGUGGCGGUGGGGAGGAGGUGGUGGAGGAGGAGGUGGUGGUGGAGGCGGAGGAGCAGCUUCGGGUGCGUAUGGAGCUGGGGGUCCGUACUCCGCUGGAGGUGGUGGUGGUGGUGGAGGUGGCGGCGGCGGCGGUGGUGGAGGGGGAGCAGCUUCGGGUGCGUAAGGGCCAACUUCGGGUGCAUAUGGAGCCGGAGGUCCAUAUUCUGCGGGCGGAGGAGGAGGUGGAGGUGGCGGCGGCGGCGGCGGCGGUGGUGGAGGAGGAGCAGCUUCGGGUGCGUAAGGGCCAACUUCGGGUGCAUAUGGAGCCGGAGGUCCAUAUUCUGCGGGUGGAGGUGGAGGUGGAGGUGGGGGUGGAGGAGGCGGUGGGGGUGGAGGCGGAGGAGCAGCUUCGGGAGCGUAUGGAGCUGGAGGUCCGUACUGUGCAGGUGGCGGUGGAGGAGGUGGGGGUGGGGGUGGAGGCGGAGGUGGAGGUGGAGGAGCAGCUUCGGGUGCGUAAGGAGCAGGAGGUCCAUAUUCUGCGGGUGGUGGUGGGGGUGGAGGAGGCGGGGGUGGGGUGGUGGUGGUGGCGGAGGUGGAGGAGGUGCUAAUUCAGGUGCGUAUGGAGCUGGAGGUCCAUAUUCUGCGGGUGGUGUGGUGGAGGGGGCGGGGGUGGGGGUGGUGGUGGCGGAGGUGGAGGAGGUGCCAAUUCAGGUGCGUAUGGAGCUGGAGGUCCAUAUUCUGCGGGUGGUGGUGGUGGUGGAGGGGGCGGGGGUGGGGGGGGUGGGGGUGGUGGUGGCGGAGGUGGAGGAGGUGCUAAUUCAGGUGCGUAUGGAGCUGGAGGUCCAUAUUCUGCGGGUGGUGGUGGAGGAGGUGGAGGUGGCGGCGGGGGUGGAGGCGGAGGCGGAGGAGCAGCUUCGGGUGCGUAUGGAGCUGGGGGUCCGUACUGUGCAGGUGGCGGAGGAGGAGGUGGGGGAGGCGGUGGGGGUGGCGGUGGAGGUGGCGGCGCAGCCUCGGGUGCGUAUGGAGCCGGUGGUCCAUAUUCUACAGGUGGAGGUGGUGGUGGUGGUGGUGGCGGCGGCGGCGGAGGGGCGGUGGUGGUGGAGGUGGAGCUGGAGCUUGCUCCUUAGGGUACGGGGCAGGUGGUCCAUAAUCGAAGGAAGGCGGCUUCUCGGCUGGAUAUGGUGCAGGUGGCCCAUAUUCUCUACUCAAUGGGGCAUGGUCGGCAGUCGCUAA
rnacentral:lncRNA from 1 species